UGCCUACGGGGGGCUGCAGUGGGGAAUAUUGCACAAUGGGCGCAAGCCUGAUGCAGCGACGCCGCGUGGAGGAUGAAGGCUUUCGAGUUGUAAACUCCUGUUACGUGGGAAGAAAGACUGUUGACUAAUAAUCAGCAGGGAUGACGGUACCACUAGAGAAAGCACCGGCAAACUUCGUGCCAGCAGCCGCGGUAAUACGAAGGGUGCAAGCGUUAUUCGGAGUUACUGGGCGUAAAGAGUAUGUAGGCGGUUUGUUAAGUUAGUUGUGAAAGACCACGGCUCAACCGUGGAAAGGCAGCUGAUACUGACUAGCUAGAGCGCAGAAGAGAGGAGUGGAAUUCCCGGAGUAGCGGUAAAAUGCGUAGAUCUCGGGAGGAACACCGGUUGCGAAGGCGGCUUCUUGGUCUGUGGCUGACGCUAAAGUACGAAAGCGUGGGGAGCAAACAGGAUUAGAUACCCCGGUAGUCAC
rnacentral:rRNA from 1 species